rnacentral:lncRNA from 1 species
GUGAUAUGGGAAAUAAGUAAUAAGCAUUUUUUUAUGGGAACAGUUGCCAGCCUGUAAGUUGGUGGUGACAGGUUGUAUAAGUGCCGGAGGAUCAGUGUCUUAAACACAUCAACCCUGGUUUCAAGAUGAUAAUACACUGACAGGGACUAUUGGGUUAGCCAACGCCAUGAUUUCAAAAAAACUUGUUUGAUUGCUACACCUUUCCAUUCAUGGCUACUGCACAUUCAAAUAAAAUGUUUAAAAGGGUUCGAAUUGGAGCCAUGAAAAACA